UACGUAGGGACCGAGCGUUGUCCGGAUUCAUUGGGCGUAAAGAGCUCGUAGGCGGCUAUUCAAGUCGAACGUGAAAUCUCGGAGCUCAACUCCGAACUGCGUUCGAUACUGGGUAGCUAGAGUCUGGUAGGGGGAUCUGGAAUUCCUGGUGUAGCGGUGGAAUGCGCAGAUAUCAGGAAGAACACCCGUGCGAAGGCGGUUCUCUGGGACGGUACUGACGCUGAGACGCGAAAGCGUGGGGGAGCGAACAGGG
rnacentral:rRNA from 1 species